rnacentral:lncRNA from 1 species
GCGGAGGUUGCGGUGAGCCGAGAUUGCGCCAUUGCACUCCAGCCUGGGCAACAACAGCGAAACUCCGCCUUAAAACAAAACAAAACAAAAACAGAGAAGUGUAGGCUGUCAUGAGCAUUCUUGGUAUCAGAGGGGUGAGGUCUCUCCUCUCGAGAAUCUGUCCUGACCUCACAGGGAGAGCUGGAGUCACAAAGACAGUCACAAGCACCCCCUACCCAAUGCUGCAGUCACCCAGCCACCAUGGGGACCCACAUAGACCUCCACAGGCACGCCUCACCCAAACAAUAACACUAUAUAUGGUCACACAAUCAUUGUCCCACAUCUACCUUGAGGAUAAGUUACACUAGCAUAUUUACAGACCCCUCAAACAUAGCACCAUUCAGAACCAGAGUGCUACAGAUAGUCACAAUACCACACGCACUACUGAGCCACACAAAGUUACAGUUCCCCCCUCCCCAGGACCCCUAUUGAGCACUACACACAAUCACACAUUCAAAAUAACACAAUGACCACUAGGACACACAUAUCACCCCGGCACGAUUACACGCACUUUCCAACCGCAGACACAGUGCUACAUAAAGUUACACAGCCACACACAAUCACAGUCCCAACACGGGACACAGUCAUACCUACACAUACAGCCUUACAUUGUUACAAUUACACAACUACAACGAGGAUAUACAAUCACACCCGCGCACACAGAGAGGCACAGUCACAUAAGGUCACACUCACACACGGAAGCCCACGCCUCGCGCCCGCCUCCCCACCACCCCCUCUAUCAGCCCGACCAACUCAUACAUGCCCGACACACUCAUACAUGCCCAACACUCCAGACCAGCCUGGUCAGUCCCUUCAAACUCCCAUGCACGUACCUGCGGGCCCCAGCCGAGCCUGCAAGACCCAGGCCGCUCACCGCGCACUUCCCCUACCCUUGAGGCGGA